AUCAGAAAGCUUCAUUUGAUCUCUUUCUGUGACUGUUAACAAUUUUCCAAAUGUGCACUUCCAGUAGAUCAUCACCAGAGAGGCAGCAGACAUGGACAUUUGUCCCGAAAUAAAUUCAUGCAGCUUCCGUAUCCACGUGUGUACAACACUUCAGAGAGAGGGAGAAAAGUUCUUCAUGGUAGGCCUUUUUUACGUGCUCAACAAGCCCAGCCUCAUAUUCAACAAGAAUUACCAACAAACAAAGGAAGAAAGUUUCUUCAUGGUAGGCCUUUUUUACGUGCUCAACAAGCCCAGGCUCAUAUUCAACAAGAAUUACCAAC